GACUUCGUUAAAUUCUUAUUCCUAUUGCAUCAUAAAUAAGAUGCUGCCUUGUCUGGUCAGGCUUGUCGAGGGGUUCGACAAGCAAGUGAAGGUGUUGGAUGACGCAAAUGAUUCGGACACUAAAAGAUGCCCGAACAAGAAAAGCAGUCAUUGGUUGGCUUUCAGCUCUUAAAUUCUGAUGUCAAAAUCGCUUCUUACUGCCGCUCUGUUUCAGUUAAUGACAGUCAAUUUGCUAAUAUUUUUACACCUUGUUUGCAGAUGAACAGCUCAAUUCUUACGUUGCUCCAAAGAAGCAAUAGGUAUUAUCAACGGAAAAGUUUCUGUUCACAAAAAUAUUUCAAGUCUAUGUGAGUGUUGCUCUUUCAUUGUGCAUGUUGUUAGUUUAAAGUUUUUCCUCUCAUCGUGUAUUUCCUUCUAAUAAUGCCAAGCUGUUGCUAAUGAUAACUAUGCAAUAGGCAUCUUAUAGAUUCCAGGCAGCAUCGCAUUAGUGCAUCUUAUUUUGUAGUACUUGCUUCACAAAUCACAAGUGAUGUGCUCUUCUAUCCUUUUUCUUGAACUUGCUCACGCCAUUCUUAUUUUGAUGCAGAUACCCAAGCAAUCUCAACAAAUUGAUAAACGAUCAGCACAAUGAAGGGUUUGGUGAAGAUAAUGGGUUGCUGACUUGCUAGCUCCAUUCAAGCAAGGGCGACCCCCUCACCAUCUUAGUGUCUUUCUCAUCUACUUUCUUGCUCUACUAUACUGCAAAAUCUUUAUGCUUGCAAAUAGAGUUUCGCCUUUGGCUACCUCAUUUUAGCCUUCGCAUCAUGUUCCUUUUGACAAAUAUGGGUGCAUUUAUAAAUAGCAAGGUUUAAAACCAAUUGCACUUUCAAUUUGGAGGGCAGUGCACCAGUCCAAUGUGACGGAUAAUGUUUAGUGCAGCUUUUUUGCUUAGGAAAGUCUGCUGUUAUUGUGCAUUCACCUCUCAUCUUGAUGAUCUAUCCUCUAAAAGAGCAUUGUGUGGUGGUUAAUGAAAUGUUUUCUUUGGCAAAUAUUACAUGCAAAGUGAACUUGUGCUCUUUCUGUACGCUGUUUUGGCUUUGUUUCAGCUAGUUAUUCAACCUGUAAAGUUUGUGAUGGCAUUUUGAGCGUGCAGGAUCCUUCUUGGAGUCUCGGACAAAAUUCUUGACCAGCUCAUUCAAUGUGUUUUGCCAUGAUAAGUAGUCUUUGUUAGCACAACAGUCACCAGAAUAUAUUUUGCUAACUACUUGAAUGCUAAGUUUCUCACUUUUGUAAUCUGGGUGGUAGCAAGUAGUUAAGGUUUUUAUACUGAUGAUCACAAGUCCUGAAUCAGGACUCUAAGGGAAAAAAAGCAAAAAAAAAAAAGAGAAGGUCCUGGUCCUAGAGGAAGGGGUCCUGAAGCUUUAAAUAUAUGGUCUUCUAGGGGAGCAUCAAACAUCCAACGCGUUGAUUGUAACUAAUCAAUUAUUUCCAUGCUACACAAUCUCAGACAGCCUAACCUUAUCAUAUCACAUUUUCGAUUAGUGAAAUUUCAGUUUCUUGUUCCUGUUUUCGUUCUUUAUACCACAGCGACUAAUGUGCCAGAAAUGUUGGUUUGCCCAAGUACGGCCUGGAUAGGUCGUCCUAGGAACAGCAGAUGAUCAAUUUUUUCCAUAAUACGCAUGUCAUAACCCCUUUUAGUCAGGAAAGUUCCACUUCCAUGUGCCCAAUUUCAUUCAAUCUACCGAAGCAAUGAAGCUCCAGUAAAGUUGGUUUGACCAUCCUUAAUUUACUAGUUUUGCACUUCUAUAGCGCAAUCCUUUGACCUUGGACAUUUUCAUGAGACUAUUUGGCUCAAAACUCAAAAGCAUCGUUACAUCUGUGCUACCCUAAAUUCCUAGUCCUUCAGUUUACCUGCUAAUUUGAAAACUCAUAAUAAGUUCCAAAACUGCAAUUCAUUUUCCUUCGUCCUUGGUAAUGAAAGGAUUGAAAAUUUUCAUAUAAGUCCAUAUGAGAACAAUUAUGUUAAUUCUUGCAGCUAUGACUAAUCAACAGCUAAUAGAUUGUGGAAACGGACAAUGGAAUUGGACAAGACUGAUCAAGCCAUUGAGAGGUCAAAAAAGAUUCAUUUGCUUCCAAAUGACUCUUAUAAAGAUUCUAAAUAUACGAUGGCUCAAUAUCUGCAGGUUCUCUUGUUUGAUGCAUAGUUGAUGUGAACAAGAUACUAAAUCCUAUCCUCAAAGUUAAAACCUUCAGAUAGACUUGAUAUUGAGUUAAUGAAUUUCUUUGAACAGGGUGCUAUGUGUAUAGACAUGGGCUCCAGCAAAUCUGGAAGCAGAGGUAUAUGCAGUGAUUGGAGCAUCUGCAAUAGAGGCAAAAUCUACUCACUUGAAGCUUGACAAUCACUUCUUCCUCUCCUGACUCUUGAGUCUGAGCUGGAUGCUUGCCCUCCACUAUUGGCUUAUAAAAACGAGUUGAGUUUUCAUUUCCACAUUCCAGACGGCGCAAGACACUAUUGAUGUCGGAUGGCGGCAAGUCUCAAGGGUCAGACAGAAAAUGAGUAGGAUUGUCCAUGAACUGAACUCCAGGGAUGGACGGUAAUGUAGCUCCCUGAAUAUUUGUUUGACCCCACAACAUUUCAGACACCUGAAGUUCGGCCACUUAGAAUUUGACAAAGCCCAAAA